UACGUAGGGUGCGAGCGUUAAUCGGAAUUACUGGGCGUAAAGCGUGCGCAGGCGGUUCGCCAAGUCAGGGGUGAAAUCCCCGGGCUUAACCUGGGAAUUGCGCUUGAAACUAGCGGGCUUGAGUGUGGCAGAGGGGGGUGGAAUUCCACGUGUAGCAGUGAAAUGCGUAGAGAUGUGGAGGAACACCGAUGGCGAAGGCGAGUCCCUGGACAACUCCUGACGCUGAGGCACGAAAGCUAGGGGAGCAAACAGG
rnacentral:rRNA from 1 species